rnacentral:pre_miRNA from 1 species
CGUGAAUUGAUUCCACGGUGGAGGUACAUUGUCCUCACCGGGAGUAAAUUUACGAU